rnacentral:rRNA from 1 species
GGAUUGCCCUAGUAACGGCGAGUGAAGCGGCAACAGCUCAAAUUUGAAAUCUGGCCCUCGGGUCCGAGUUGUAAUUUGUAGAGGAUGCUUUUGGUGCGGUACCUUCCGAGUUCCCUGGAACGGGACGCCAUAGAGGGUGAGAGCCCCGUCUGGUUGGAUACCAAUCCUCUGUAAAGCUCCUUCGACGAGUCGAGUAGUUUGGGAAUGCUGCUCUAAAUGGGAGGUAUAUGUCUUCUAAAGCUAAAUACCGGCCAGAGACCGAUAGCGCACAAGUAGAGUGAUCGAAAGAUGAAAAGCACUUUGAAAAGAGGGUUAAACAGUACGUGAAAUUGUUGAAAGGGAAGCGCUUGUGACCAGACUUGGGCCCGGUUAAUCAUCCAGCGUUCUCGCUGGUGCACUUGGCCGGCCCAGGCCAGCAUCAGUUCGGCGCGGGGGAUAAAGGCUUUGGGAAUGUGGCUCCUCCCGGGAGUGUUAUAGCCCACAUGCGUAAUACCCUGCGCUGGACUGAGGUUCGCGCAUCUGCAAGGAUGCUGGCGUAAUGGUCAUCAGCGAC